rnacentral:pre_miRNA from 1 species
ACAACAUUUGGACCGUCGGUCUACCGAGCAAUAUCACCCGCCCGGUGAAAGGUUUUCUGUUUAUCCU